rnacentral:lncRNA from 1 species
UGUAUCUAUUAUUGCACGAUCUACUGUGCAAUAUAAAGCGCCUUGAGGCGACUGUUGUUGUGAUUUGGUGCUAUAUAAAUAAAAUUGAAUUGAAUUGAAUAACUGUUCACUGGCAUUUAAAAGUUCAGUUCUUAUUUAAAAAUGUACAUAUUUUUAUUUUAUAUUUUAUGCUUUACAAUUUUAGUUUUAAUGUUGUUUACUCCAAACAGUGAUGGCAACAGCAGUUUUGGCCAGAAGCAGAGGUGUUUUCAGCACCAUCAAAGUCCUGUUCCUCAUGUUCACCCUGCUGUGUCUCAUUUGCCUUUCAACUUCACUGACAAACAAGAACCAACUGGUAAACGAAGUGUUCAAUGAAUGUUAUGAGAAAGCACAAGAAGAAAUGGAUAACCUGAUGGAGGAAAAGUCAGACAUGCUGAAAGCUUCAGAGCUGGUAGAUGAGUAUCUGGCCAUGAUGGACCCAAUGAUAGCAGUGAUCAAGAAAACUAAUGCAUUUGUUGGUUAAAUAGUUCCUGACACAGAUUUGGAGUACCUUAAGGUUUUAUCAGGAGAAGUCAAAGAUGAACUAGACCUCAUAAAUGAAGAACUUGAUGAAGAAAUUACAUCCAAGGAAAAGCAACUGAGGAAAAUGAAGACAUUGAUCGAAUACAUUGAGGAGCAGCACACUGAAUUGUAAUUUUUAUGUCAACUGAUAAAAGUUACGAUUCAUAUAUGUGUUGCACACCUUUAGUUUUUACUAGAACUUCCUUUGAAACUAUGACAUUUUUUGCCUGUUUGACAACUUCUAUGGAACCUUGAUACAAUUUAAAUGUAACUAUCAUAACAUUUGAAAAAUAUGUCAGUGUAUGUCUCUUUAAACUAACACAAAAUAGAAACAUUUUCCUUCGGUUAUUGUUCUAUUAGUUAUGUCAACAAUAGACAAAACUACAUUUUGACUGCACCUCUCCUAAAUGGAAUCAUUUUGUGAAAUCCUAGUGGUAUAAAUACAUCGUUGUUUUUCCCUAUUGUAAUUUAUUGUAAUGAAUUUAAUUGAAGUCAUUGAAUUGAACUGAAUUAAUUUCAGCUGUGAAAAUGGUCUAUACAUGACCAUUCUUUCUUUGAAAGCCUGAAAUUU